rnacentral:rRNA from 1 species
AAGAACCUGAAACCGUGUACGUACAAGCAGUGGGAGCACCCUUCGGGGUGUGACUGCGUACCUUUUGUAUAAUGGGUCAGCGACUUAUAUUCUGUAGCAAGGUUAACCGUAUAGGGGAGCCGGAGGGAAACCGAGUCUUAACCGGGCGUUAAGUUGCAGGGUAUAGACCCGAAACCCGGUGAUCUAGCCAUGGGCAGGUUGAAGGUUGGGUAACACUAACUGGAGGACCGAACCGACUAAUGUUGAAAAAUUAGCGGAUGACCUGUGGCUGGGGGUGAAAGGCCAAUCAAACCGGGAGAUAGCUGGUUCUCCCCGAAAGCUAUUUAGGUAGCGCCUCGUGAAUUCAUCUCCGGGGGUAGAGCACUGUUUCGGCUAGGGGGCCAUCCCGGCUUACCAACCCGAUGCAAACUGCGAAUACCGGAGAAUGUUAUCACGGGAGACACACGGCGGGUGCUAACGUCCGUCGUGAAGAGGGAAACAACCCAGACCGCCAGCUAAGGUCCCAAAGUCAUGGUUAAGUGGGAAACGAUGUGGGAAGGCCCAGACAGCCAGGAUGUUGGCUUAGAAGCAGCCAUCAUUUAAAGAAAGCGUAAUAGCUCACUGGUCGAGUCGGCCUGCGCGGAAGAUGUAACGGGGCUAAACCAU